AGGAGAAGACGCGUGAACCAGGUGAGAUAGAGGGAAACCAUCUGGGAGGAGAAAGGAAGAAUGGGAAACUGCUGGGAGCUCAAAGCCUCCUCAGUGAAGCCCAAGGACACCAGGUGAUGGUAGUCACACUGCCGAGGUCACCUGCUUACAGAACAUCUGACUGAAGAAGACUGCCUGUUUUCAGUGCUUCACAGAACUGAGACAACAACUUGGGAUCAAGUGUGCUGUUGCCUGGCCAAGUGUAUGAAGAGGACUAGUGGCAGCAGAAGGGAGCUGUUUAUGAAUGGAUUCAGUCUGCAAGGCACA